AGAUGAUACGGUGGGUGUGGAAGAAUUCGUAGUCCAGUUCAUUUAAUUUAUUCAGACUCACUUAAAACAUGAGAUCCGGCGAUGUGGUGUAGGUGUAUAAGACACUUCCGAUUUACCAAUGCAGGUGUUGCGAUUGCGAUACUGAUUUGUGAUAUCACGCUGUGUGACUGUACGAGGCGUGGCCCUUGACGUCGCAUAGUUGUGCACACCCUACCAAAACGUGACAAGGCGUCGGGUAGCGUCGAAUAGCGUUGCACCGGGAUUCAUUCAGGAGGUUGUCAGCGAUUCAUUUUUAUUGUAAGUGAUUGCAAGUAGUGAGUACUUAUCAGAAGAUUAGUUAAGAGGGUGGAACAAAGCGUGCUGUUGGGGUAAGCAUGAUAACAGUAGAUUUCGUUUCCCCCUGGAAGGGAGGCGAACCUGUUAACAACGAUGGAGGGAGUGUUUUCCAGCUGGUAAUUUGGCCCCUCACAACAGCUUGCCCUCGACAAUAAAUUUCUGCUUGAUACUAAUUGGAGCCUUGAUUUCAAUGGAUCUGCGUCGAACAUGUAGGGUAAAUAAACGGAUUCACGGGCGAUUUGUGUACGUUUAAAGCGAAAGAUAAAUUUCAGUGGAACCAUCAUGUGCCGGAAG